rnacentral:rRNA from 1 species
UUCCGGUUGAUCCUGCCGGACCCCACUGCUACCGGGAUAGGACUAAGACAUGCUAGUCAUGCGCUUUCAAGCUAAUGUGAGAGCGCGGCAUACAGCUCAGUAACACGUGGCUAACCUGCCCUUGGGACGGGAAUACCCCCGGGAAACUGGGGCUAAUUCCCGAUAGGUGAAAAAUUCUGGAAUGAAUUUUCGCCUAAAAGACGUUUAUGUCAUGCUCAUAGACGUUGCCCAGGGAUGGGGCCGCGACCGAUCAGGUAGUUGGUGAGAUAAUGGCUCACCAAGCCUUUUACCGGUACGGGCCGUGAGAGCGGGAGCCCGGAGAUGGGCACUGAGACAAGGGCCCAGGCCCUACGGGGCGCAGCAGUCGCGAAAACUUUGCAAUACACGAAAGUGUGACAAGGCUAUCCCGAGUGCCAUCCGCUGAGGAAGGCUUUUACCCAGUAUAAAUAGCUGGGAGAAUAAGGAGAGGGCAAGUCUGGUGUCAGCCGCCGCGGUAAUACUAGCUCUCUGAGUAGUGUGGAUGUUUAUUGGGCCUAAAGCAUCCGUAGCUUGCUAUGCAAGUCCCCUGUUAAAUCCACCGAUUUAAUCGUUGGACUGCGGGGGAUACUGUUUGGCUAGGGGACGGGAGAGGCUGACGGUAUUUCCGGGGUAGGGGUGAAAUCCUAUAAUCCCGGGAGGAUCUAUCAGUGGCGAAGGCUGUCGGCUAGAAUGCGUCCGACGGUGAGGGAUGAAAGCUGGGGGAGCGAACCGGAUUAGAUACCUGGGUAGUCCCUAGCUGUAAACGAUGCAGGCUAGGUGUUUGGGUUGGCUACGAGCUGCUCUAGUGCUGCAGGAAAGCUGUUAAGCCUGCUGCCUGGGGAGUACGGCGCAGGGCUGAAACUUAAAGGAAUUGGCGGGGGAGCACUACAGGGGUGAAGCUUGGCGGUUUAAUUGACUCACGCGGGAA